rnacentral:lncRNA from 1 species
UUAGGCCAGCAUGCUACACACAUUGAAUAAAAUCAGUAACUUCAGCUAGUCUAACUUGAUGACAAGAUUCUCUAUCAGUGCUGGACAUAAUGGCAUUAAAAUCCCCUGCUAUCAACCAGGGGUCAGUGAUACUAGCAGCAAGAUUCUGAAGAGUUGUCCACAGUGAUUUCCUUUGUACAAUGUGACAUCUUGUAUCUCAACAUGUCACAGCUCUUAGAAAUUUUUAUUGAAAAUAUAAAGAAAAACGAAUUAGAAGCAUAGUUUGACUACUAACGAC